rnacentral:rRNA from 1 species
AACGGUAACAGGAAGCAGCUUGCUGCUUUGCUGACGAGUGGCGGACGGGUGAGUAAUGUCUGGGAAACUGCCUGAUGGAGGGGGAUAACUACUGGAAACGGUAGCUAAUACCGCAUAACGUCGCAAGACCAAAGAGGGGGACCUUCAGGCCUCUUGCCACCGGAUGUGCCCAGAUGGGAUUAGCUAGUAGGUGGGGUAACGGCUCACCUAGGCGACGAUCCCUAGCUGGUCUGAGAGGAUGACCAGCCACACUGGAACUGAGACACGGUCCAGACUCCUACGGGAGGCAGCAGUGGGGAAUAUUGCACAAUGGGCGCAAGCCUGAUGCAGCCAUGCCGCGUGUAUGAAGAAGGCCUUCGGGUUGUAAAGUACUUUCAGCGGGGAGGAAGGUGCUGAGGUUAAUAACCUCAGCAAUUGACGUUACCCGCAGAAGAAGCACCGGCUAACUCCGUGCCAGCAGCCGCGGUAAUACGGAGGGUGCAAGCGUUAAUCGGAAUUACUGGGCGUAAAGCGCACGCAGGCGGUCUGUCAAGUCGGAUGUGAAAUCCCCGGGCUCAACCUGGGAACUGCAUUCGAAACUGGCAGGCUAGAGUCUUGUAGAGGGGGGUAGAAUUCCAGGUGUAGCGGUGAAAUGCGUAGAGAUCUGGAGGAAUACCGGUGGCGAA